GAGGGCUAAAUACCGACAUAAUAAAGGGAGUAAGGGAUUGAGAGUCUGAGACCAGAGAGUCUGAUACAGCACCACCUCAAUUCACUUCACUUCGAUCGAUCGACGCUAUUCUCCUUGACCUCACUUCACUUCUUCACAGUUCGGCACUUCGGCAGUUCCUCCUCUCCCCUAAAAGGCUAAAACCCUACUCUAUUCUCCUCGACGUCCUCAUCUCACUGUCUCAGGUAUUUUUCGCUCUCGUUUCAAUAAGAUAUUUUAAGGGUUUAUGAACCGGAUUAGACUAGAUCUAGAAUUUAUCGAUUUAUAUUUGUGGGUUUAUGAUAUUAUAUGUUUUUGUGUUUAGCUGCAAGCAAUUUAUCUGUAUGGUAAUUAAAUUGGAAGUUAGCUCAUAUCAGUCAUAUGGUUAUAUGUAUGCAAAAUAGUUAGAUAUAUGGAAAUUAUCAAAGAUAGCUAACAGAGAUGGGUUUGUUUAUUUGUUAGUAUAAUAUCUAUUGAAUUAAUUAUGGGUUUUGUUUUGAUAAUGAUUAUGUUAUGCUAUCAAGUUAUGGGAAUUGAAUAUGCAAAGAUUGGUAAUUGGUUUUCGAAAACAGUUAGUAUAUUAGAUUUUGCAAAAACAAUUAGUAUAAGGUGUAAACUGUGAUUUGGUUAUUUUCAAAAUCAGUUAGUAUGCAUAUAGUUAAUAAUUUCAGUUGGCUAUGGAAAUGAAGAAAUACAUGUUUACACGGUUAUUAUAUUGCAAAUGAGAUGGAAGCUAAAAGUUAGUAAGCUAACUUGUUAGUAUGUGUCAGUAGGAGAAGAGAGAAUAAGGCUGUUGGAGAGAUGUUGCUGGGUCAUUACGAUGACCACCUUGGCAUCAGGGAAUCACCAAGAAACUCGGCUGGGGAAUGGGUCGGUGAAGAUAAGACGCGACAGUAUAGAUAAGAAUGCACAGAGUAAUGUGCAUCUUAGGACUGCAAUUUACUAUAUGUAUGAGAGGGGCUUUACCUUGCAGCAUUUAAUUUUGAUUUACUUUAUGUAUCCUCUCACUUGUUUACAGAUUUUUUUUAAAAAAAAAAA
rnacentral:lncRNA from 1 species